rnacentral:rRNA from 1 species
GAAUCCCGUCUUUGACGCGGACUGCCUGUACAUUAUGGUGUGCUCUCGAAGAGUCGAGUUGUUUGGGAAUGCAGCUCAAAAUGGGUGGUAAAUGCCAUCUAAAGCUAAAUAUUGGCGAGAGACCGAUAGCGAACAAGUACCGUGAGGGAAAGAUGAAAAGAACUUUGGAAAGAGAGUUAAACAGUACGUGAAAUUGCUGAAAGGGAAACGCUUGAAGUCAGUCGCGUUGACUUGAAAUCAACCCUGUUUCUGCUGGGUGUACUUUCUUGUCAAUGGGUCAGCAUCAAUUUUGACCGUUGGAUAAAGUUAUUGGGAAUGUGGCAUCUUUGGAUGUGUUAUAGCCUGAUGAUGCAUACAGCGGUUGGGAUUGAGGAACUCAGCACGCCACAAGGCCGGGUUUCGACCACGUCCGUGCUUAGGAUGCUGGCAUAAUGGCUUUAAUCGACCCGUCUUGAAACACGGACCAAGGAGUCUAACAUGCCUGCAAGUGUUUGGGUGGAAAACCCAUGCGCGUAAUGAAAGUGAAAGUUGAGAUCCCUUUGGGGAGCAUCGACGCCCGGACCAGACCUUUUGUGACGGAUCCGCGGUAGAGCAUGUAUGUUGGGACCCGAAAGAUGGUGAACUAUGCCUGAAUAGGGUGAAGCCAGAGGAAACUCUGGUGGAGGCUCGUAGCGAUUCUGACGUGCAAAUCGAUCGUCAAAUUUGGGUAUAGGGGCGAAAGACUAAUCGAACCAUCUAGUAGCUGGUUCCUGCC